AGAGUUUGAUCCUGGCUCAGAUUGAACGCUGGCGGCAGGCUUAACACAUGCAAGUCGAGCGGAGAGAGGUAGCUUGCUACUGAUCUUAGCGGCGGACGGGUGAGUAAUGCUUAGGAAUCUGCCUAUUAGUGGGGGACAACAUUUCGAAAGGAAUGCUAAUACCGCAUACGUCCUACGGGAGAAAGCAGGGGAUCUUCGGACCUUGCGCUAAUAGAUGAGCCUAAGUCGGAUUAGCUAGUUGGUGGGGUAAAGGCCUACCAAGGCGACGAUCUGUAGCGGGUCUGAGAGGAUGAUCCGCCACACUGGGACUGAGACACGGCCCAGACUCCUACGGGAGGCAGCAGUGGGGAAUAUUGGACAAUGGGCGCAAGCCUGAUCCAGCCAUGCCGCGUGUGUGAAGAAGGCCUUAUGGUUGUAAAGCACUUUAAGCGAGGAGGAGGCUACUUUAGUUAAUACCUAGAGAUAGUGGACGUUACUCGCAGAAUAAGCACCGGCUAACUCUGUGCCAGCAGCCGCGGUAAUACAGAGGGUGCAAGCGUUAAUCGGAUUUACUGGGCGUAAAGCGCGCGUAGGCGGCUAAUUAAGUCAAAUGUGAAAUCCCCGAGCUUAACUUGGGAAUUGCAUUCGAUACUGGUUAGCUAGAGUGUGGGAGAGGAUGGUAGAAUUCCAGGUGUAGCGGUGAAAUGCGUAGAGAUCUGGAGGAAUACCGAUGGCGAAGGCAGCCAUCUGGCCUAACACUGACGCUGAGGUGCGAAAGCAUGGGGAGCAAACAGGAUUAGAUACCCUGGUAGUCC
rnacentral:rRNA from 1 species